AAAGCGUGCGCAGGCGGUAAUGUAAGACAGAUGUGAAAUCCCCGGGCUCAACCUGGGAACUGCAUUUGUGACUGCAUUGCUGGAGUGCGGCAGAGGGGGAUGGAAUUCCGCGUGUAGCAGUGAAAUGCGUAGAUAUGCGGAGGAACACCGAUGGCGAAGGCAAUCCCCUGGGCCUGCACUGACGCUCAUGCACGAAAGCGUGGGGAGCAAACAGGAUUAGAUACCCUUGU
rnacentral:rRNA from 1 species